rnacentral:rRNA from 1 species
CGGUAAUACGGAGGAUCCAAGCGUUAUCCGGAAUCAUUGGGUUUAAAGGGUCCGUAGGCGGUCAGAUAAGUCAGUGGUGAAAGCCCAUCGCUCAACGGUGGAACGGCCAUUGAUACUGUCUGACUUGAAUUAUUAGGAAGUAACUAGAAUAUGUAGUGUAGCGGUGAAAUGCUUAGAGAUUACAUGGAAUACCAAUUGCGAAGGCAGGUUACUACUAAUGGAUUGACGCUGAUGGACGAAAGCGUGGGUAGCGAACAGGAUUAGAUACCCUGGUAGUCCACGCCGUAAACGAUGGAUACUAGCUGUUGGGAGCAAUCUCAGUGGCUAAGCGAAAGUGAUAAGUAUCCCACCUGGGGAGUACGAACGCAAGUUUGAA